UACGGGGGGGGCAAGCGUUGUUCGGAAUUACUGGGCGUAAAGGGCUCGUAGGCGGCCAACUAAGUCAUACGUGAAAUCCCUCGGCUUAACCGGGGAACUGCGUCUGAUACUGGAUGGCUUGAGUUCGGGAGAGGGAUGCGGAAUUCCAGGUGUAGCGGUGAAAUGCGUAGAUAUCAGGAGGAACACCGAUGGCGAAGGCAGGUCACUGGGCCGCAACUGACGCUGAGGAGCGAAAGCAUGGGGAGCGAACAGG
rnacentral:rRNA from 1 species